GAAAAUACGAGGAUAAUUAUGCCCUCUAUCUUGGUAGAUCAAUGCUGAGGUAUAAGUAUAGGGAUUUUAUAUUGGCACCUUACAACUUUAGUGACCAUUGGAUUGUUUUUUAUAUUUAUCCCUUCGAAGGGAAGGUGCUUGUCCUAGACUCUUUACAUGUUCCUCCCGAGAAGUAUCAACCAUUCUUGGUUCAAUUAGAAAGGGCAUGGCGGUUUUAUAAGAAACAAAAGGGACCGGUCGACGCCGCACGCUCAGAUCCUAGGGUGC